AGGGAUAUAGUAUAGUUUGAUAAUACAUGUAUUUUGGAUAAAAAAUGUCACAGGUUCAAAUCUUGUCUUUCCUA
rnacentral:tRNA from 1 species